UACGGAAGGCAGCAGUGGGGAAUAUUGCACAAUGGGCGCAAGCCUGAUGCAGCCAUGCCGCGUGUAUGAAAAAGGCCUUCGGGUUGUAAAGUACUUUCAGUCGUGAGGAAGGUGUUAAGGUUAAUAACCUUAGCAAUUGACGUUAGCGACAGAAGAAGCACCGGCUAACUCCGUGCCAGCAGCCGCGGUAAUACGGAGGGUGCGAGCGUUAAUCGGAAUUACUGGGCGUAAAGGGCACGCAGGCGGUUAAUUAAGUUGGAUGUGAAAUCCCCGGGCUUAACCUGGGAAUGGCAUUCAAGCUGGUUAGCUAGAGUCUUGUAGAGGGGGUAGAAUUCCAUGUGUAGCGGUGAAAUGCGUAGAGAUGUGGAGGAAUACCGGUGGCGAAGGCGGCCCCUGGACAAAGGCUGACGCUCAUGUGCGAAAGCGUGGGGAGCAAACG
rnacentral:rRNA from 1 species